rnacentral:lncRNA from 14 species
AUGGCCACUCUGCAGGCCUAUUCUCAGAGGAUGGGAUCAUAUCACAUCCAAGCACUCCCACAUCCUUGUCUCCUCCUUGGCUCACCUCAUCCCUGCAGGCUGACAGCCACAUGUGCUCAGACACAUCCAAAGCUCUCUUUUCCAAUGGCACCAUGCACUGGCUCAUCAGGACACAGCAGGCACAGCACAUCACACCAUCAGCCUGCAGCCAAGAGCUGCCUGUCUGCAGCACUUCAGUGCCAAAGGACACCCCAAAGGACACAGAAGGUGAGGAAGCUGAAGAUGCUACCCAGGGAAGGACGAGCCUCAGGUCAUGGCUGCAGUGUGGUUGGUACCAUUGGGGCCUGCGCUGGGAACCUCUGUACAGUGAUGGAGAUGGAGGAUGCAGAACCCUCUGGGUCUCCCCAUGGGGACUUUGCCAUCGUGGUUCAACAAUUCACUCUAUGGCUUCAAACCUCUUUUAGUUCAUCUAUUGCCAAGUUAUCAGCUGGGGCUGAGCUCCUGGGGUUGGCUUUCGUGCCUUGGUGAGGGUUUAUUGCUAUUCCAUUGUCAACAGUGCGCAGCAGGGAUGCACCAGAGCCUCGCACCCGCAGGCUGUGGCUGAUGUGCUUUCACAAUCCCUUUCUUUCCAGUUUUUCCAGUAUGGCCUGGAUCCUAUGGACGGAUUCCUUCCUGGCCUGACGAACGCUGCCCUGGCCUCCGGUCUCCACGGAAUCCAGCUCCAGCAGCAGCUUGGUCAGCAUCUCCUCCAGCAGCCGGUAGGAUUUAUCCGUCUUUUUCCCUACAAACUCAUCCACCUCCUCCUCCAGCUGCUCGGCCUCCCCCAUAACAUGGAGGAUCCUUUGGAUUCCCGGCUGGAUGCCUGUGGAAUGCACUGUGGGUUGGUGCUCACCGGCUCGAUGCUCCCUAUUCCCAGCCCAAGGCUUCCGAGGUGCGUUGUCAUAGAGCUGGGGCUGGGCGCUGUACUGCACCUUGGGGUGCAGGGGGGCUGCUGUGGGCUCAUUCCCUGUCCCAUAGUGCUGGUGAUGGCCAUCGGGGUAGUAGCUGUGAUGGUUUGUGCCGUACUCGGGUUUAUCAUAAGCAACAUCCUAAGGCAGGAGGAGAAAAAGCCUUUUAAGUGUUUUUGCCUAAAAGCCAAGGGUUUCCCCCUUAUCUGACACUUGCUUUGUGCACAGAGGGCAGUGAUGCAGGCAGCAUCUUCUACACUGUCACACACCGUGAUGCUGUAACACAGCAGGACCCAAGUCCUGACAAGAGGUCCCAAAGAGAUACAGGACCCACAUGCAAGUCCUGGACCACUAAAGAGAGAUGCCAAUGAGGGUCCUGUCUGGGUAUCCCAAAGAUGCUUCUCUGUUCCCAUCCCUAAAUCCCUGCUGCAUUUAUCUCCUGAUAAUGAACAGACCACACCAGAUGCAUCAUUCCCUUCUGGUUUGGGUUUAAACAUUCCUCAGGAAGGGAUGGCUGUGCCCAAACCAAGCACUUGAAGAGGAAUUCCAAAGGGUACAGACUGGCCCUUAGGGAGUCCCAU